CAGAUUGAACGCUGGCGGCGUGCUUAACACAUGCAAGUCGCGCGUGAAAGGACUUCGGUCCGAGUAAAGCGGCGCACGGGUGAGUAACGCGUGGAUGAUCUACCCAUGAGUUAGGAAUAACGGCUGGAAACGGUCGCUAAUACCAAAUACGCUCCGAUUUCAACUUCGGGGGGAAAGGUGGCCUCUGCUUGCAAGCUACUGCUCAUGGAUGAGUCCGCGUCCCAUUAGCUAGUUGGUGGGGUAACGGCCCACCAAGGCGACGAUGGGUAGCCGGUCUGAGAGGAUGACCGGCCACACUGGGACUGGAACACGGCCCAGACUCCUACGGGAGGCAGCAGUGGGGAAUAUUGCGCAAUGGGCGAAAGCCUGACGCAGCGACGCCGCGUGAGGGAUGAAAGGGUCCUCGGAUCGUAAACCUCUGUCAGGAGGGAAGAACCGCCACGGUGCUAAUCAGCCGUGGUCUGACGGUACCUCCAAAGGAAGCACCGGCUAACUCCGUGCCAGCAGCUGC
rnacentral:rRNA from 1 species